ACACGGAGCUUGCUCUGUGGGAUCAGUGGCGAACGGGUGAGUAACACGUGAGCAACCUGCCCCUGACUCUGGGAUAAGCGCUGGAAACGGCGUCUAAUACUGGAUAUGUGACGUGACCGCAUGGUCUGCGUUUGGAAAGAUUUUUCGGUUGGGGAUGGGCUCGCGGCCUAUCAGCUUGUUGGUGAGGUAAUGGCUCACCAAGGCGUCGACGGGUAGCCGGCCUGAGAGGGUGACCGGCCACACUGGGACUGAGACACGGCCCAGACUCCUACGGGAGGCAGCAGUGGGGAAUAUUGCACAAUGGGCGAAAGCCUGAUGCAGCAACGCCGCGUGAGGGAUGACGGCCUUCGGGUUGUAAACCUCUUUUAGCAGGGAAGAAGCGAAAGUGACGGUACCUGCAGAAAAAGCGCCGGCUAACUACGUGCC
rnacentral:rRNA from 1 species